GGAAGUUAAGAAACAGUUUCUUAACUUUUAACUAAAAAACUAAGAACCGGUUCUUAAAUAAGGACUUUAAGAACCGGUUCUUAAAUAAGGACUUUAAGAACCGGUUCUUAACUUUUUUAGUUAAAAGUUAAGAAACAGUUUCUUAACUUCC
rfam:Brassica napus, WGS project CCCW01000000 data, contig: 3466